UUAGCCUACUGUUGCUAACGUACAUUCAUAAAUCCUACAUAACAUUGUUCCCGCUCAUUGUGCCUCUCCAUC